AACGAACGCUGGCGGCAUGCCUAACACAUGCAAGUCGAACGAACCCUUCGGGGUUAGUGGCGCACGGGUGCGUAACGCGUGGGAAUCUGCCCUUUGCUUCGGAAUAACAGUUAGAAAUGACUGCUAAUACCGGAUGAUGUCUUCGGACCAAAGAUUUAUCGGCAAGGGAUGAGCCCGCGUAGGAUUAGGUAGUUGGUGGGGUAAAGGCCUACCAAGCCGACGAUCCUUAGCUGGUCUGAGAGGAUGAUCAGCCACACUGGGACUGAGACACGGCCCAGACUCCUACGGGAGGCAGCAGUGGGGAAUAUUGGACAAUGGGGGCAACCCUGAUCCAGCAAUGCCGCGUGAGUGAUGAAGGCCUUCGGGUCGUAAAGCUCUUUUACCAGGGAUGAUAAUGACAGUACCUGGAGAAUAAGCUCCGGCUAACUCCGUGCCAGCCGCCGCAGUAACAC
rnacentral:rRNA from 1 species